rnacentral:piRNA from 1 species
UGCAUCAUUUCCCUAGAGUGAAACAGGCUGU